AUUGAACGCUGGCGGCAGGCCUAACACAUGCAAGUCGAGCGGCAGCGGGAAGUAGCUUGCUACUUUGCCGGCGAGCGGCGGACGGGUGAGUAAUGUCUGGGAAACUGCCUGAUGGAGGGGGAUAACUACUGGAAACGGUAGCUAAUACCGCAUGACCUCGCAAGAGCAAAGUGGGGGACCUUCGGGCCUCACGCCAUCGGAUGUGCCCAGAUGGGAUUAGCUAGUAGGUGGGGUAAUGGCUCACCUAGGCGACGAUCCCUAGCUGGUCUGAGAGGAUGACCAGCCACACUGGAACUGAGACACGGUCCAGACUCCUACGGGAGGCAGCAGUGGGGAAUAUUGCACAAUGGGCGCAAGCCUGAUGCAGCCAUGCCGCGUGUGUGAA
rnacentral:rRNA from 1 species